UAGUGAUAAUCUAGUAGAAUAAAAAUAUGAACUCCUAGGCACAGUUAUCGUAUGAUUUAGUCCUUCUAUCAUGAAUCCCGACUUGAUAGAGAUCAUAAAGAACUCAUCAGAUCCCAUCAUCAGUCAUAUGCUAGAUUAACUCGACUCAAGUUUAUUUAUGAAUCUCAUAAAAAAAAAUUUCAAUAUUCUCACUUGCUUUGAUCAAAGACUUUCUGAACUCAGUCUCACAAAUCAUAUAGGGCUUUUCUUUUUCUACCAAAGUCGAUAAAUUCUAUCUAGAUGCAUCCCACUCCAAACAACGAAUCUAAAUUUGCUAUAGCCAACAUACACAACAA
rnacentral:lncRNA from 1 species